rnacentral:lncRNA from 1 species
AGAUGAAUUUGUGGUUCCGAGUUCAAGCCGAAGUUUUGAUCCCGUGUUCUGAGAGACACAGCCAACCAGUCGUGUCUGCAUCAUUUGCAUCAUAGCAUAUUUAUUUUUCAAAAGAAACGCAAAUAAAGAAAAAAUAUAAAAAAAGAAAAAAGAAAAAAAAGGGGGAAAGAAAAAAACUAAUCCCUGCAUGCAUAUCAUUUCUCAGGUACAUUCCAGAGCUUGUUC